rnacentral:rRNA from 1 species
UACAGAGGGUGCGAGCGUUGUUCGGAAUUACUGGGCGUAAAGAGCUCGUAGGCGGUUUCGUAAGUCGGAUGUAAAAACUCCAGGCUCAACUUGGAGACGCCAUUCGAUACUGCGAUGACUUGAGUCCGGUAGGGGAGUGUGGAAUUCCUGGUGUAGCGGUGAAAUGCGCAGAUAUCAGGAGGAACACCGGCGGCGAAGGCGGCACUCUGGGCCGGUACUGACGCUGAGGAGCGAAAGCGUGGGUAGCAAACAGG